GACUUUAUAUUUCAUUUUUGGUGCCUGGCUGGUAUAGUAGGGACUUCCUUAAGCCUACUAAUUCGUGCUGAAUUAGGAAAUCCGGGAUCUUUAAUCAGAGAUGAUCAAAUUUAUAAUGUUGUAGUAACUGCCCAUGCUUUUGUAAUAAUUUUUUUUAUAGUGAUACCUGUAAUAAUCGGGGGAUUUGGUAAUUGACUAGUACCCUUGAUAUUAGGAGCCCCUGAUAUAGCUUUCCCUCGAAUAAACAAUAUAAGGUUUUGACUUCUUCCCCCCUCCUUAACUUUACUACUAAUAAGUAGAGUUGUAGAAAGAGGUGCUGGGACUGGUUGAACAGUAUAUCCGCCUCUCUCAUCAAAUAUCUCCCAUAGAGGAGCUUCUGUAGAUUUAGCGAUUUUUAGAUUACACCUCGCAGGAAUUUCUUCUAUUUUAGGAGCAGUCAAUUUUAUUACUACCAUUAUUAAUAUACGAUCUCCUGGAAUAUCAUUCGAUAAAAUACCUCUUUUUGUUUGAUCAGUGGGAAUUACAGCUUUACUUUUAUUGGUAUCCUUACCAGUAUUAGCUGGAGCUAUCACUAUACUUUUAACAGACCGAAACUUAAAUACUUCCUUUUUUGACCCUUCUGGUGGAGGGGACCCUAUUUUAUAUCAGCAUCUUUUCGAAAAGAACUUUGAAGAGAGAGUUCAAGAGUACGUGAAACCGUUCAGGGGUAAACCUGAGAAGCCCAAAAGUUCGAAUAGGGAGAUUCAUCGAGCUCGUUGCGCUGGCGGCUUGGCGUAUUCGGUGACGAUGUGUGGUGGCGUCCGUUUCGAUGGGUGUCCAUUGCUGUUGCACCGUGCGCCGGCAUAUACACGUACGAGCGCGUGCACUUCUCCCUUAGUAGGACGUCGCGACUCGUUGGGUGUCGGUCUACGGCCCGGUGUGGAGCCUGCGUCGGCCGUUUCGGCGGUUCGUUGUAGACCAUCGGUGUCCUGACUGACUCGCUCGACGGAAGACUUGUGGCGCAGGGUCGCGCUUUGCGCGCGUCUGGCCCACUGCAAGGUGGCUGGCGGCCAGAACUGUUUUAGCCAGUUAGUUCGGUCUCGGACCUAGUGCCGAACCGGACUCCGUCGCACUGUUGGCAGUGGUGUCCUCAGACAGACUCUGAUAAACGCCCGUCUGCGACGCUAUUGUUUUGGGCAAUUUCAGGGCCCGUCUUGAAACACGGACCAAGGAGUCUAGCAUGUGCGCAAGUCAUUGGGACAAAAGCGAAAUCUAAAGGCAUAAUGAAAGUGAACGUUCGUGUGCCACUUGUGGCCGCGUACAUAGGGAGGAUGGGUUGGCCCAAGGGCUGACCUCGCACUCCCGGGGCGUCUCGUGUUCAUUGCGAACUGAGCGCACCUAGAGCGUACAUGCUGG
rnacentral:rRNA from 1 species